AUUGAACGCUGGCGGCAGGCUUAACACAUGCAAGUCGAGCGAGCGGCGGACGGGUGAGUAAUGUAUGGGGACUGCCUGAUAGAGGGGGAUAACUACUGGAAACGGUGGCUAAUACCGCAUACUAUCGGAUCACCCAUUUGGGAUUAGCUAGUAGGGGGGGUAAAGGCUCACCUAGGCGACGAUCUCUAGCUGGUCUGAGAGGAUGACCAGCCACACUGGGACUGAUACACGGCCCAGACUCCUACGGAGGCAUCAGUGGGGGAUAUUGCACAAUGGGCGCAAGCCUGAUGCCGCCAUGCCGCGUGUAUUAAGAAGGCCUUGGGGUUGUAAAGUACUUUCAGCGGGGAGGCGUUACUCGCAGAAGAAGCACCGGGUAACUCCGUGCCAGCAGCCGCGGUAAUAC
rnacentral:rRNA from 1 species